GACGAACGCUGGCGGCGUGCCUAACACAUGCAAGUCGAACGAGAUCCAUGGGAGCUUGCUCCCGGAAGAUCUAGUGGCGAACGGGUGAGUAACACGUGAGAAACCUGCCCUGGAGUGGGGAAUAACUCGGGGAAACUCGAGCUAAUACCGCAUACCCUCGGAUGGUACGCAUGGCCGACCGAGGAAAGAUUUAUCGCUCUAGGAGGGUCUCGCGGCCUAUCAGCUAGUUGGUGGGGUAACGGCCUACCAAGGCAACGACGGGUAGCUGGUUUGAGAGAACGAUCAGCCACACUGGGACUGAGACACGGCCCCAGGACUCCUACGGGAGGCAGCAGUGGGGAAUCUUGCGCAAUGGGCGAAAGCCUGACGCAGCAACGCCGCGUGCGGGAUGACGGCCUUCGUGGUUGUAAACCGC
rnacentral:rRNA from 1 species